UACGUAGGGUGCAGGCGUUACUCGGAAUUACUGGGCGUAAAGCGUGCGCAGGCGGUUUCUUAAGUCAGAUGUGAAAGCCCCGGGCUUAACCUGGGAACUGCGUUUGAAACUGGGAGACUUGAGUGUGGCAGAGGGGGGUGGAAUUCCACGUGUAGCAGUGAAAUGCGUAGAUAUGUGGAGGAACACCGGUGGCGAAGGCAGCCCCCUGGGUUAACACUGACGCUCAUGCACGAAAGCGUGGGGAGCAAACAGG
rnacentral:rRNA from 1 species